rnacentral:rRNA from 1 species
UACAGAGGUCCCAAGCGUUGUUCGGAUUCACUGGGCGUAAAGGGUGCGUAGGCGGUGAGGUAAGUCGGAUGUGAAAUCUCCGAGCUCAACUCGGAAAUGGCAUUGGAAACUACCUCGCUAGAGAGUUGGAGGGGGGACUGGAAUACUUGGUGUAGCAGUGAAAUGCGUAGAUAUCAAGUGGAACACCAGUGGCGAAGGCGGCUCACUGGCCCGGUACUGACGCUGAGGUGCGAAAGCGUGGGGAGCAAACAGG